rnacentral:rRNA from 1 species
UACGUAGGGUGCGAGCGUUAAUCGGAAUUACUGGGCGUAAAGCGUGCGCAGGCGGUGAGUUAAGUCUGCUGUGAAAGCCCCGGGCUCAACCUGGGAACUGCAGUGGAAACUGGCUCGCUGGAGUAUGGCAGAGGGGGGUGGAAUUCCGCGUGUAGCAGUGAAAUGCGUAUAGAUGCGGAGCAACGCCGAUGGCGAAGGCAGCACCCUGGGCCAAUACUGACGCUCAGGCACGAAAGCGUGGGGAGCAAACAGG